CCUACGGAAGGCAGCAGUGGGGAAUAUUGGACAAUGGGGGCAACCCUGAUCCAGCCAUGCCGCGUGUGUGAAGAAGGCCCUCGGGUUGUAAAGCACUUUCAGUGAGGAAGAACGCCUGGUGGUUAAUACCCAUCAGGAAAGACAUCACUCACAGAAGAAGCACCGGCUAACUCCGUGCCAGCAGCCGCGGUAAUACGGAGGGUGCGAGCGUUAAUCGGAAUUACUGGGCGUAAAGCGCGCGUAGGUGGCUUGAUAAGCCGGUUGUGAAAGCCCCGGGCUCAACCUGGGAACGGCAUCCGGAACUGUCAAGCUAGAGUGCAGGAGAGGAAGGUAGAAUUCCCGGUGUAGCGGUGAAAUGCGUAGAGAUCGGGAGGAAUACCAGUGGCGAAGGCGGCCUUCUGGACUGACACUGACACUGAGGUGCGAAAGCGUGGGUAGCAAACAGGAUUAGAUACCCCUGUAGUC
rnacentral:rRNA from 1 species